rnacentral:rRNA from 2 species
GAUGAACGCUGGCGGCGUGCCUAAUACAUGCAAGUCGAACGAGUUCUGAUUAUUGAAAGGUGCUUGCAUCUUGAUUUAAUUUUGAACGAGUGGCGGACGGGUGAGUAACACGUGGGUAACCUGCCCUUAAGUGGGGGAUAACAUUUGGAAACAGAUGCUAAUACCGCAUAAAUCCAAAAACCGCAUGGUUCUUGGCUGAAAGAUGGCGUAAGCUAUCGCUUUUGGAUGGACCCGCGGCGUAUUAGCUAGUUGGUGAGGUAACGGCUCACCAAGGCAAUGAUACGUAGCCGAACUGAGAGGUUGAUCGGCCACAUUGGGACUGAGACACGGCCCAAACUCCUACGGGAGGCAGCAGUAGGGAAUCUUCCACAAUGGACGCAAGUCUGAUGGAGCAACGCCGCGUGAGUGAAGAAGGCUUUCGGGUCGUAAAACUCUGUUGUUGGAGAAGAAUGGUCGGCAGAGUAACUGCUGUCGGCGUGACGGUAUCCAACCAGAAAGCCACGGCUAACUACGUGCCAGCAGCCGCGGUAAUACGUAGGUGGCAAGCGUUAUCCGGAUUUAUUGGGCGUAAAGCGAGCGCAGGCGGUUUUUUAAGUCUGAUGUGAAAGCCCUCGGCUUAACCGAGGAAGUGCAUCGGAAACUGGGAAACUUGAGUGCAGAAGAGGACAGUGGAACUCCAUGUGUAGCGGUGAAAUGCGUAGAUAUAUGGAAGAACACCAGUGGCGAAGGCGGCUGUCUGGUCUGUAACUGACGCUGAGGCUCGAAAGCAUGGGUAGCGAACAGG